UUCGAGUGGCGGACGGGUGAGUAACGCGUGGGUAACCUGCCUUACACAGGGGGAUAACACCUGGAAACAGGUGCUAAUACCGCAUAAGCGCACAGGGCCGCAUGGCCCGGUGUGAAAAACUCCGGUGGUGUAGGAUGGACCCGCGUCUGAUUAGCUUGUUGGCGGGGUAGAGGCCCACCAAGGCGACGAUCAGUAGCCGGCCUGAGAGGGUGGACGGCCACAUUGGGACUGAGACACGGCCCAAACUCCUACGGAAGGCAGCAG
rnacentral:rRNA from 1 species